UCUAGUCCAGGCCAGGAACACUAUAUUGUAGCGUAAUGUAAGGUACCUUCCUUGGAGGAGCCCAGGAAGAGACUCAAGGCUGCCCAAGUGGAUGAGGAAGCCAAGCCUAUGUUCCUGGGAAGAGCCCCAGAUAACCUCCAUGCCAUCCUCCUUCCCAUGAUGGCAGGCCCUGAGAUCCUGUAGUCUCUGCUGGACAACCUGGGCUUUGUGGAAAGACACCAAAAUGAUCCUGAGCCUCAGGUAGAAGAGGAGAAGCAAUGUCAAGAUCAAAAACACCCUGGAUGACUCCAAAAGUUGAGAGUUAACACAGCUCGUACUUAUUUAUGAAAGGUCUAAAUGUUUAUUUUAUUAGAAGGAGCUGUGGAUGUGCAUAACAGUUGAGAAAAGCACCAAAUAGAAGAAUCCUGCUAAUGACAACAGUGAGCAGACAGAACAUGUGUGCAUGAAAGAGAUCAUCCUGCUGCUGAAAAAGUGAUAAAUGACAAUAAGAAUUGCUCAUCAAGAACAUGAAUCUUCAACAUGAUACACAAAAGGCCAAAACAACUUUAACCCAACAGGUGAUAUACAGGAGACAAUGGAUACAAAUGGAUUUGGCACAUGCAUUCAUUCAUACUCUCACAGCAGUGAGUACCAACAAGCAAGUGAAAUCUUCACAGAAAAAAUUUAUCUAAAAAGUCUUUGUCAAUCCCCCAAACUGAAAUUUUCACAGAAAAAAACUAACAUUACUGUCCAGUAAAUUCCACUGUAAAGAAUACAUCUCUGUUUUUAAUUUUUAAUUUUUUUUUUUUAGGCAAUUGGGGUUAAGUGACUUGCCCAGGGUCACACAGCUAGUAAG